AGCAACCAGGCAAACAGCUGCACAGGAAAGACAACAUGGCAGAAAGAGAGAACCAACUCCCAAAAGUUGUCCUCUGACCUCUGCACAUGUACUCUGGCAUUUAAACUAAGUAUAAAAAUUUCAAAAGAAAAUAAAAAGUGGAAGAAAAAAGAGAUGACUUCAAAUCAACAAUCCAAGCAAACCCAGAAAAGCAAAGCAAGGAGGAAGGGAAAACAACAAAGGCAGCCACAAACAAGAUCGAGCUGGAGAGCUGGGAACAGUGGAGAAAAUGCACAAAAGAGAUCAUGUGGCCAUGCUGAGUUGUAAAGAAAAUCGUCUCCUUCGCCGAAUGUCCAUAAUGUCCUUCUCUGGUGUACUCUAAAAAGUACAAAACGCCUUUUAAAACAUUCCUUAACACAAUAAAAACUGGCUGAACAAAA